GCAGUGGGAGCCCCACCACUAAGCCAGUGGUGAACUCCACAUACGCAUCCUUUGCGGAAGAUACGGUUAACGGAGCGAAAGCGACGUUCAACCGCAAAAGAAGCAGAGGGGGCUUAGUGGUGGGGUGACUGCGUACCUUUUGUAUAAUGGGUCAGCGACUUAUAUUCUGUAGCAAGGUUAACCGUAUAGGGGAGCCGGAGGGAAACCGAGUCUUAACCGGGCGUUAAGUUGCAGGGUAUAGACCCGAAACCCGGUGAUCUAGCCAUGGGCAGGUUGAAGGUUGGGUAACACUAACUGGAGGACCGAACCGACUAAUGUUGAAAAAUUAGCGGAUGACCUGUGGCUGGGGGUGAAAGGCCAAUCAAACCGGGAGAUAGCUGGUUCUCCCCGAAAGCUAUUUAGGUAGCGCCUCGUGAAUUCAUCUCCGGGGGUAGAGCACUGUUUCGGCCAGGGGGCCAUCCCGGCUUACCAACCCGAUGCAAACUGCGAAUACCGGAGAAUGUUAUCACGGGAGACACACGGCGGGUGCUAACGUCCGUCGUGAAGAGGGAAACAACCCAGACCGCCAGCUAAGGUCCCAAAGUCAUGGUUAAGUGGGAAACGAUGUGGGAAGGCCCAGACAGCCAGGAUGUUGGCUUAGAAGCAGCCAUCAUUUAAAGAAAGCGUAAUAGCUCACUGGUCGAGUCGGCCUGCGCGGAAGAUGUAACGGGGCUAAACCAU
rnacentral:rRNA from 1 species